AACACUGUGACCAAAAGAAUGUGGAAGAGCCU
rnacentral:piRNA from 1 species